rnacentral:rRNA from 1 species
GGCGGCGUGCUUAACACAUGCAAGUCGCACGAGAACGCUUCAGCUUGCUGAGGCAAGUAAAGUGGCGCACGGGUGAGUAACGCGUGGGUAAUCUACCUCUGAAUUGGGGAUAACAUUGCGAAAGCGGUGCUAAUACCGAAUAAUAUCAUCAGGGCUCCGGUCCUGUUGACCAAAGGUGGCCUCUACAUGUAAGCUACUGUUUAGAGAUGAGCCCGCGUACCAUUAGCUUGUUGGUAGGGUAACGGCCUACCAAGGCUACGAUGGUUAGCUGGUCUGAGAGGAUGAUCAGCCACACUGGAACUGACACACGGUCCAGACUCCUACGGGAGGCAGCAGUGAGGAAUUUUGCGCAAUGGGGGAAACCCUGACGCAGCAACGCCGCGUGAGUGAUGAAGGCUUUCGGGUCGUAAAGCUCUGUCAAGUGGGAAGAACCUGCCCCGUGAUAAUACCAUGGGGUACCGACGGUACCACUGAAGGAAGCACCGGCUAACUCCGUGCCAGCAGCCGCGGUAA